ensembl:lncRNA novel transcript, antisense to PLD5
GAGAUCCAUUCAUGCUGUUGUGCAAAACAGUAGUUUGUUUCUUUUUAUUGCUGAGUAAGGAUUUUAUUGUAUGGAAUGUACCAGUUUGUUUAUCCAUUCUCCAGUUGAGAAACAUUUGGGUAGUUUUUAGUUCCUGGUGAUGACAGAUAAAGCUGCUGCAAACAUUCAUGUGCAUAUUUUCGUGAGGAUGUAGUUUUCAUUUCACUUGAGUAAAUGCAAAGCAGUGAGAUUGCUGGGUCAUACAAUCUCGUCCAGAAGUAAUAUACGUCAAGAAAGAAGAGAUUAUAAAUGUCUAGCAGGGACUGUUAGAAAUAUAUUUGGUGCCCUUGAUGAUUUCUCAAUCAAGACAGGGAACACUGAGGUACAACCACAUAGAGCAUCGGAGCUGCUACGGUAAAGGGGAAGGAGAGAUUCCUACUCUGGUUGAUGACACUGGAUCCUUGCAAGCUGGACAUCUCGGAACAACAGACACAGCUGUUCAACCUCAGAGCAAACACCAAAAUCCUAGUUUCGCCAUGAACACUGAAAUUAUGAACUACUUCAAAAUAAUAGCUUCCGUGGUGACCAGAGCAACAAAUUUUACUAGGUUUGCCUUGAAGAUUUGAAAUAUCCACAGCACCUACGUGAAUUUGCUGUGGUGCCCCAGGCUCUACCUCACUGCACAGUUUGGAAACCACAGCUUUCAGUUGUCUUCUUUUUUUAAAAUUAUUUUUAUUUUUUGAGAUGGAGUCUUGCUCUGUCAACCAGGCUGGAGUGCAGUGGCGCGAUCUCCACCUGCUGGGUUCAAGCAAUUCUUGUGCCUCAGCCUUCCAAGUAGCUGGGGUUACAGGAGCCCACCGCAACGCCUGGUUAAUUUUUGUAUUUUUAGUAGAGACUGGGUUUUGCCCUGUCGGCCAGGCUAGUCUCGAACUCCUGUCCUCAAGUGAUCCACCCACCUCAGCCUCCCAAAGUGCUGGGAUUACAAUGUGAGCUACCGUGCCCAGCCUCAGUUGUCUUCUGACUCUGAGAAGUUAAGAUUCAACUGAUUUUUAAACUUGAGGUUUGAAAUUCCUUACUAUCCACUUUUGGGACCCACUGCACUAUCAGAGAAAAGCAAGAGUAUCAGAAACACAGGUGACUGUGGAUGGAAGAGCAGUAAGCAGUUGAAGUACUUUGCUGUUUUUCCCGUAGGGGAGGACAAAUGGAUUCCUGAGGUGCAGGGCAAUCAACAGAUGAGAUCCAAGAGUCAGAACCCUGGAAUGGACCACCAGAACUUUCCCAUGGAGCCCCAGGACUUCUUCCCCCAAUUCCUGCUGUUUCUCCUCCUCCCUGUAGCAGGCUUCUUAAAGCAGGUAGUUUGACCUGCUGAGCAUCACAUUGCAUAAAACAAUGCCGGAAGACUUGAGCAAUGGUGACUUACCAAGACAGCUGGCUGCCUAUGUUUAUGGCAUUUGGAAUCCACCGGGAACACAUACAUUUGUCACAGUGUGUUCCCGAAAUAAAUGAGGCUGUCUCCCAACUGGCCCCAUAUAAUCAACGCAGCCCAGCCCCACAUAGCUACUCCAAUGAAUAAUGCUUUGUUUGCCAAAUGCAAUGGGAACCUACCACAGGCCAGGGUGCUUCCAACAACAACAACAACAAGAAACUAAA